CGGGGGUGGGGCUUCGGAGGGCGCGCACCCGGGCGGCGGUCAUGGAGGGCACCGGCGCCGGCUUCCGGAAAGUGGCGACAAGCUCAUGCAGUUACAACUGGGAGGACAAGGCCGCUGUGGCUGCUUCCUGGAGUGACUGCUUCCCCAAGUGACCAGGUGGCAAGUUCUUACCCUUCUGAGCCUGGACCCAUCGUGUGUCCACUCCACUCCGCUCUUGGGCUUUGCUGAGCUGCGCUGGGCAAGGAACUGGUGAGCAAGCUGCUGCACCUGCACUUUAAGGAUGACAAGACCAAAGUCAGCGGGGACGCACUGCAGCUCAUGGCGGAGUUGCUGAAGAUCUUUGUUGUGGAGGCAGCCAUCCGCAGCAUCCGGCAGGCCCAGGCAGAGGACCUGGCCCGCGUGGACGUGGACCAGCUGGAGAAAGUGCUGCCUCAGCUGCUUCUAGACUUCUAGGGGUUUCCACGCUUGCUGCGGCUGCCUGUCCAAGUCAUGGCCAAGCCCCGUGUCCACAUGUCUUCUGUGGCCUCUGACCUCAGGCAGGGAAGGUGCUGCUGAUCCCCGAGAUUCUCUUCCCGCCCCGAAGAUGGGCCAGGCCCCAGCAAAUGCAUCUCUCCUCCUGGCAUCCUCUCUGCCCUGCUGCCAACAGCCCGGAUGCAGCGGAUAGGGGGUCAUUGAGGGGAUGGGGGGCCUGUGUGGGGAACCAGGCCCAUGGGGUCUGGCACCAUGACACGUGCCCACCCCUUGUGCCUCCUGGGGCAGCUGAGCACCCGCCAGUGUGCGAGAAGCACUGGGUCCUCGGGAAGCAGGUGCCGAGGGAGAAGCCGGGACCAGCCCACCAGAGCAGGUAACCUGUGUGUCUUCUACAAACAAGCAAAGCUGCGUGCAGUCCUGCCACCCUGACAUCAAAGCUAGUGUGUAACCUUUUAACCACUUGAUAUUCCCCUCUGAAGAUGCUUCCCUGAGCUAUAAAUUUGUUCUCACAAAGCAACAUCAAUAAAUCAAAGCUGCCUCUCCCAGG